rnacentral:rRNA from 1 species
UCGGGAAUUUUGGGCAAUGGGCGAAAGCCUGACCCAGCAACGCCGCGUGAAGGAUGAAGUAUUUCGGUAUGUAAACUUCGAAAGAAUAGGAAGAAUAAAUGACGGUACUAUUUAUAAGGUCCGGCUAACUACGUGCCAGCAGCCGCGGUAAUACGUAGGGACCAAGCGUUGUUCGGAUUUACUGGGCGUAAAGGGCGCGUAGGCGGCAAUUCAAGUCAUCUGUGAAAUCUCCGGGCUUAACUCGGAACGGUCAGAUGAUACUGCUUUGCUAGAGUGCAGAAGGGGCAAUCGGAAUUCUUGGUGUAGCGGUGAAAUGCGUAGAUAUCAAGAGGAACACCUGAGGUGAAGACGGGUUGCUGGGCUGACACUGACGCUGAGGCGUGAAAGCCAGGGGAGCAAACGGGAUUAGAUACCCCAGUAGUCCCUGAGCGGGCUGGCAAGGCGCAU